rnacentral:rRNA from 1 species
CACGCCCUAAACGAUGUCAACUAGGUGUGUGAGAGUCUAACUCUUGCGUAUCGAAGCUAACGCGAUAAGUUGACCGCCUGGGGAGUACGGUCGCAAGACUAAAACUCAAAUGAAUUGACGGGGGCCCGCACAAGCGGUGGAGCAUGUGGUUUAAUUCGAUGCAACGCGAAGAACCUUACCUGGCCUUGACAUGUAGUGAACUUUCCAGAGAUGGAUUGGUGCUCGAAAGAGAACCGUAACACAG